ACACAUAUUUCCUCUUUGGAUGCCCUUCCUCUUCUUGUCUGCCUGGAAAUUCCUAAUCAUUCUUUCAUACCAAGAGCUCUACUGGUGCAACACUCCGAGUUAGUAAGCAACGUGAAACUACUAGAGAAUUUUCUCCACAAAAGGAAAAAGUAAACCACAAAAGAUAAAGAUGUGGUCUGCAGAAAAUAGGAGACACGAUACAGGAGAGAGAUAAAUGAAAUACUUACAAGGCUGAUGGAGAUUCUAGGAUGACAAAUUUGAACCAGCCAUAGAAGACAACUGGUUGGUUAAGAUUGUUAUAGGUGUGGUGACUGUGCACGCCUGUAAUCCCAGCAUGAGUCAGGAAUAUCACAAGUUUGAG